CUAACGAUCUCGCUCUCGCGGCCUAAUUAAACCGUGACGUGUCCAGCCGGAUGUCUGCUAAGGCUGGACGCGACGACAGCAGGCUGGUCCGAAAGCGGGGUGACCGCGCCGGAGGACGAGAGUUAUUUCGUGGCCACAAGAGUGAGUGACGCGCGCUGAUCCGCUAAACUCGCUCUCCAAUUCGAUCGGCUAAGCAUGUAGACGUCUGGAACGAUGGUCUUAAGGACAGGGGUUCGACUCCCCUCGCCUCCAA
rnacentral:tmRNA from 1 species